CGCGCGCAGGCGGUUCCUUAAGUCUGAUGUGAAAUCUCGCGGCUCAACCGCGAGCGGCCAUUGGAAACUGGGGAACUUGAGUGCAGGAGAGGGGAGCGGAAUUCCACGUGUAGCGGUGAAAUGCGUAGAGAUGUGGAGGAACACCAGUGGCGAAGGCGGCUCUCUGGCCUGUAACUGACGCUGAGGCGCGAAAGCGUGGGGAGCGAACAGGAUUAGAUACCCUGGUAGUCCACGCCGUAAACGAUGAGUGCUAAGUGUUAGAGGGUAUCCACCCUUUAGUGCUGCAGCAAACGCAUUAAGCACUCCGCCUGGGGAGUACGGCCGCAAGGCUGAAACUCAAAGGAAUCGACGGGGACCCGCACAAGCGGUGGAGCAUGUGGUUUAAUUCGAAGCAACGCGAAGAACCUUACCAGGUCUUGACAUCCCCUGACAACCCUAGAGAUAGGGCGUUCCCCUUUCGGGGACAGGGUGACAGGUGGUGCAUGGUUGUCGUCGGCUCGUGUCGUGAGAUGUUGGGUUAAGUCCCGCAACGAGCGCAACCCUUGACCUUAGUUGCCAGCAUUCAGUUGGGCACUCUAAGGUGACUGCCGGCUAAAAGUCGGAGGAAGGUGGGGAUGACGUCAAAUCAUCAUGCCCCUUAUGACCUGGGCUACACACGUGCUACAAUGGGUGGUACAAAGGGCAGCGAAACCGCGAGGUGGAGCGA
rnacentral:rRNA from 1 species